rnacentral:lncRNA from 1 species
UUUUUCUUCCUUUCUCUUUCUUUCUUUCGUCUCUCUUUCUUUUUCUUUCUUUCUCUUCUUUCUUUUUCUUUUUCCUUCUCUCUCUCUCUCUCUUUCACAGGGUCUUGCUCUGUCACCCAGGCUGGAGUGAAGUGGCAUGAUCUCAGCUCACUGCAGCCUCGAUUUCCCGGGCUCGGGUGAUCCUCCCACUCAGCCUGCCAAGUAGGGACUACAGGUGCACACCGCCACGCUAGGCUAA